AUCGAAAUGAUGCUUGAAAUUUCAGUAAUUUGUCUGCCAUUCCUCGCAGUAGUAGGCUUAGCCAAUCUGAUCAGUUGUUUGACGUUCAUCAUGAAUUUUUGGGACACCAUGGACAAUAUUUUGAAAUUGCGAAUAUUUAUGUGGGCUGGAUGGAUUGUUCUUAUCACUGUGCUGUUUUGCAGGAGUGGCCAACAACUAAUAGACGUGACGAGCAAUAUUUUUUUUACUUUGGGUGGAGCUCCUUGGUACUACUGGAAUCUUGAGAACAUUAAAAUUCUUCUCACAUUUAUGACAAAUUGCACUAACAAUGAUAGUAUUGCUCUGGCUGGGUUUUGUUUAAAUUACCCACAGUUUGUUUCGGUGUGUACAUCUUACGAAAUGUGAUUUUUUCUAGUUUUUGUUACAGAUCGCCAACACUACUAUUUCAUAUGCCCUUGUUUUGUACAAUAUUCGUAAAAGUAGUGAUUCAGACUACUAAAAAUAGCAGUUUUUGCUAUUAAUUGGUAUUUAUUAGAAUAAGAAAUUGUAGAAAAAUUCUGAAAUCGCUGCGAUCUCUGCCUAUAGUUUUGUUAAUUUAACAACCUAUAAUGUUUAACUUAUUCACCAAUUAAUUUACUUUACUUAGUCAUUAAUUAAUUAAUAUUAAUAACUACUAAUUAUUAUUAAUAAAUUAAUUAAGUACCUGUUACAGGAUUUGACAAAAGCUAUUUGAACCAAGUGUUUUUUGCUUAAAUAUUUACUUUCGGAUAAAAAGCGUAACUAGUAGAUCAAAAAAUAAGGAAGAAAACUUUUUGAUAUAUUUUUUUAUUUAUUAUUUUAUUCUUUUUCUGAUCGGCGUUAGAAAAAUCUUUACUUUAUUGAAUUAGAAUUCAUUCUUAAAGCCAAGUUUUUAUUUUCUUUUAGUUUUUGAACUAUAAUUUUUUUGUUUUUUCGUGUCAGCUUCGAAAACUUAUCAUCAUUAGCUCGGUUUAAAAGCAAUAUUACUUAUUAAAUUAGAAUCCAUUUUUAGAGCAAAGUUUUUGAUUUUUCUUAGUUUUUGAGAAAUUUUUUUUUUGAUUUUUUUUUUGAUCGGCUUCGAAAAAUCUUUAUUAUGAGCCCGAUUUAAACACACUAUAUUAUUUAUUGAAUUAGAUUCAAGUUUAGAACAAAUUUUUAAGCACAAAAAUCGGAGUACCGUUAAUUUUUGGUAUAUCUUGAAAACAAAAAA